UUUUUCUAUUUGUGUAACCAUAAAUGGUUUUCUCCUGAUGAAGUAGAGAUUUAUGAAACACGUUGACCAUAGAAUUCUCAAAUAUUGUUGGAAGCCAAAUCGUAAAUCUUUACUUCAUCAGGAGAAAAACAUUUAUGGUUAUACAAAUAAAAUGUUGUGUAACCAUAAAUGGUUUUCUCCUGAUGAUGAAGUAAAGAUUUACGAAACAAGUUGAGCAUAACCUAGCUACUCAUGGAGUUCUCGAAUAUUGGAAACCAUGAUCAGGUCUUGGAGUAGCUGGGUUGUGCUCAACGCAUUUCGUAAAUCUUCACUUUAUCAGGAGAAAACAACAAUUUAUAGCUAUAGAAAAAGUAAUAAUAAUAAAAAGUUUACUUCUGUCAAGACACGAUCGUGGUCGCCAACAACAAUAUUACAAAGCCCAAUGAGUGGCUGGGUUAUACUCAACGCGUUUCUUAAACCUUGGUUUACUUCAUCAGGAGGAAAAUGUAGCCGACAAGGCAAAAACCAUAUUGUAAAAAUAGAAACUUGACGCGUGGAAAUUGUUACUGGAAUCUGUCCCAAGAGUGGUAGGGAAGGCCACGUCUGUCUCCUGAUGACGUGAACUACAAUUUCCGAAACGCGUUGAGAAUAACCCUCAAUGAGUUCUCCAAUAUGGUUGUUGGAAACCAUGAUCUUGUCUAUCUGGCGUACCGUAUCAAAGCCCUGUGGGCACUGGCUUUUGUACAUUGUGUAGUAUAAGGGAAGAAGGUGCACCAGACUGUAUUAUUUGUAUUGUGAGUUCAACGCGUUUCGGUUAAAAAAAACCUUCAUCAGGGCUUUUAAAAAUUGAUCAGGAUGAAAGGCUGGUAUCCUAUUGGGAUUGGGUUAAAAUGGUAGAGUGUGCUCGGAUCUAACCUGACCCCCCCCCAAUUGCAGGAUACUUGGAUCGUCCCACAUUUUGAUUUCUUGACGCAUUUCGGGGGUUCUGUUAACUUUUCAUGAAAAAAAACAAACUGGAGAUGAGCUACGUAAUCACAGUUGAGAUCGGGUUAGAAUGGUAGAGCCCAUUUGGGUCUCGCCUGACCCCGAUUGCAGUAUACUUAGUCCCCACUUUGAAUACUCGACGCAUUUCAGGGGGUUCUAGAAGAAAACCUUUCAGGAGCGCUUGUGAAAAAUAUAUAAACAGAGAACGAUCUACGUCUCGUGCAAUUGGGGGGUCGGGUUAGAAUUGGUCUCGCCCGGCCCCAAUUGCAAGAUACUUCGUCCCCAGUUUGAAUACUCGACGCAUUUCAGGGGGGGGUUCUAGAAGACAUUUCAUGAGAGGACGAUCUACGUAUCCUGCAGUUGGGAUCAGGUUACAAUUGUAGAGCCUGCUUUGGUCAAACCUCCCCCCCCCCAACUUCAGGAUAUUUAGAUUGUCCCCAGUUUAAAUAAUCAACGCAUUUCGGGGGUUAUAGAAGACAACCUCUCAGGAGCGCUUGUGAAAAAUAUAAUGAAGGGCGAUCUAUGUAUCCUGCAAUUGAGGGUUGGAAUUGUAGAGCACACUGGGGUCUAACCUGACCCAAAUUUCAGGACACUCAGUCCGAAUACUCGACUCGUUUCGGGGGCUCUAAGAGUCGAUCUUUAAGAAGUGCUUGUAGAAAAUAAAUCAAGGAUGAUCUAUGUCUCCUGCAAAUGGGAGGAGGUUGGAAUUGUAGAGCCCGCUGGGGGUCUAAGCUGGCCCCUAUUGCAAGAUACUUCGCCCCCCAGUUUGAAUACUCGACGCAUUUCGGGGGUUCUAGAAAACAACCUUUCAUGAGCGCUUGUGAAAAAAAAAACCGAGGACGAUCUACGAAUCCUGCAAUUAGGAUCAGGUUGAAAUUGUAGAGCCCACUGGGGGUCCAAACUGCAGGAUACUCAGUCCCCAGUUGGAAUACUCGACGCGUUUCGGGGGUUCCAGAAGACAACCUUUCAGGGGCGCUUUAGAAAGAUAAAACCGAGGCCGAACGUAGUGUUCUGCAAUUAAGAUGAGGUUGGAACUGUAGAGCCCACUGGGGGGUCAUUUAACUCGGCCCCCCAACUGCAGGAUACUCCGUCCCCAGUAUGAAUACUCGACGCGUUUCGGGGGUUCUAAGAGUCAAACUUUAAUGAGCGCUCGUAGAAAAUAAAGCCGAGGACGAUCUACAAAUCCUGCGAUUGGGAUUAGAAUUGUAGAGCCCACUCGGGUCUAACCCGACCCCCCCAAAUGCAGGUUACUUUUGCCGAAACGCGUAGAAUUUUCAAACAAACUUCCGAAUUCUAACAUUUUGAUUGGUGCGUUCUCUUCCCGCCUCCAUCCCUAUUGAAAACCUCAUCUUUGAUGGUCAUUGGUUGAAGAAAGGGGGCGGGGAUUCGUCAACUUCCACAUCUCUGUCCUGAUUGGUUCCCUCUCUCGCUGUAUAUAAAGUGUAGACAGAACUAUAUAUAUAUAUAUUUUAAAAAAACAGAAGAAGUGUAAUUGCUCCGUGAUGUGCGCUGUGCGCCGGGUGUGUCUCUCAGGCUGCUACGUCUUUUAAAAAAAAAAAAAA